AGAGUUUGAUCCUGGCUCAGGAUGAACUCUGGCGGCGUGCCUAACACAUGUAAGUCGAGCGAUUUACUUCGGUAAAGAGCGGCGGACGGGUGAGUAACGCGUGGGUAACCUGCCCUGUACACACGGAUAACAUACCGAAAGGUAUGCUAAUACGAGAUAAAAUACUUUUAUCGCAUGGUAGAAGUAUCAAAGCUUUUGCGGUACAGGAUGGACCCGCGUCUGAUUAGCUAGUUGGUAAGGUAACGGCUUACCAAGGCGACGAUCAGUAGCCGACCUGAGAGGGUGAUCGGCCACAUUGGAACUGAGACACGGUCCAAACUCCUACGGGAGGCAGCAGUGGGGAAUAUUGCACAAUGGGCGAAAGCCUGAUGCAGCAACGCCGCGUGAGCGAUGAAGGCCUUCGGGUCGUAAAGCUCUGUCCUCAAGGAAGAUAAUGACGGUACUUGAGGAGGAAGCCCCGGCUAACUACGUGCCAGCAGCCGCGGUAAUACGUAGGGGGCUAGCGUUAUCCGGAAUUACUGGGCGUAAAGGGUGCGUAGGUGGUUUCUUAAGUCAGAGGUGAAAGGCUACGGCUCAACCGUAGUAAGCCUUUGAAACUGGGGAACUUGAGUGCAGGAGAGGAGAGUGGAAUUCCUAGUGUAGCGGUGAAAUGCGUAGAUAUUAGGAGGAACACCAGUUGCGAAGGCGGCUCUCUGGACUGUAACUGACACUGAGGCACGAAAGCGUGGGGAGCAAACAGGAUUAGGUACCCUGGUAGUCCACGCGGUAAACGAUGAUUACUAGGUGUCGGGGGGCUAGAGCCCUUCGGUGCCGUCGCAAACGCAAUAAGUAAUCCACCUGGGGAGUACGUUCGCAAGAAUGAAACUCAAAGGAAUUGACGGGGACCCGCACAAGCGGUGGAGCAUGUGGUUUAAUUCGAAGCAACGCGAAGAACCUUACCUGACCUUGACAUCCCAAUGACCGGACAGUAAUGUGUCCUUCCCUUCGGGGCAUUGGAGACAGGUGGUGUAUGGUUGUCGUCAGCUCGUGUCGUGAGAUGUUGGGUUAAGUCCCGCAACGAGCGCAACCCCUAUCCUUAGUAGCCAGCAUAAAGAUGGGAACUCUAGGGAGACUGCCGGGGAUAACCCGGAGGAAGGCGGGGACGACGUCAAAUCAUCAUGCCCCUUAUGGCCAGGGCUACACACGUGCUACAAUGGCGUAAACAAAGGGAAGCGAAGCCGUGAGGUGGAGCAAAUCCCAAAAAUAACGUCCCAGUUCGGAUUGUAGUCUGCAACUCGACUACAUGAAGCUGGAAUCGCUAGUAAUCGCAGAUCAGAACGCUGCGGUGAAUACGUUCCCGGGUCUUGUACACACCGCCCGUCA
rnacentral:rRNA from 1 species